rnacentral:ncRNA from 1 species
UGAUAGCGUAGAAGCGUGAGGUUGCUGCGGGUAAAACCGCAGGUUUUCCGUGGAGCGAAUGUCAAGUUAUAAAACUGGCGACAA